AAUACUGUUAAAAACAACCAUAUGGUAAAAUAACCUUGUGGUUUUAAACUACUGUACGGUAAAACAACCAUGCGUUAAAAAAUUUACAAUACUGU